rnacentral:tRNA from 1 species
GCCUGGGUGGCUCAGUUGGUUAAGCCUCUGACUUGGGCUCAGGUCAUGAUCUCAAGGUCGUGGGAUCGAGCCCCAGCUUGGGCU